GACAAGUGCGGCCCGGAGGCGAUCUGUGCGCGAGGAGGCGCUGUGAAGACUGAGGCACAGCCCCUCCGAGGAAAGCCGAGAUUGUACGUUUCCUUGCCGGCUGAGCCGCGGCUCGUCCCCCGGAGCGACACAAAGAAGAAGUGGCCUUGCAUCCUGCUCCGCCUCCCGAGCCGGGUCCUUGGUCCCCGGAAGCCCUGGGCUGCCCCACUGGAGUUACCUUCUGUGCGUUCUCUCCUAAACCUACACGUUAUUCACGACUUUGUUCAUGACUAUGGAAAACAAAACAAAAACAAAAACCAAACCAAAGUUCCCUCGCCUGGCGAUGGUGCAAGCCUGUCUACCUGCUGGAGGAUGGUAAGUCCCCGGUCACGACAACCUGUCUCAACGGGAAAAAAAACAAUUCUGUGAACCCUAACGUCUCCUCUUGCUCAGCGUUCUCUUCUGAGAUCCGAAUGUGAAGCUGAGAUCCCAAGAGAGAAAUUCUUUCCUAAGGAUGAGGCAAGUUGAAACCAGGGGAGAACCCCACUAGGGGGAAUAGAAAAGUAGUAGGUGUCGGGCUAGCUACCCCGUCCUCACUGUGUGUUGUUAGCACUUCCCAGGAUGUGUUUUGAAAGGACAGAAGGAGCAGCACCCCCUGCGAACUUGUACAAAGACACGUUGUGGUGUACACUGUGACUCGUCUGCAGUCCAAACCCGGGGAGGAAUGUUAGGCUGGCCUGGCUACAUUCCAAGAUCCCGUGCCCCGUCUGACCUGGGUUACACAGCGAAGCUGGUCUAGCAUACAGAGUGAGAGAUGCUGCCUCAAACAGACAAAUGAGCAAAAUCAGUCCCAUCCUCCAGAUGGUGCCACACAGGAUGUGCUAUGCUAAGGGAUAUCACUAAAAAACAAAAGAAAAGAAAAACCCCCCAAGAAUUGUUUAUUAUGUAUACAUCGUUCUGGCUGCAUGUUUGCCUGCAGGCCAGAAGAGAGGUUACCAGAUCACAUUAUAGAUGGUUAUGAGCU
rnacentral:lncRNA from 1 species